GACGAACGCUGGCGGCGUGCUUAACACAUGCAAGUCGAACGGAAAGGCCCUGCUUUUGUGGGGUGCUCGAGUGGCGAACGGGUGAGUAACACGUGAGUAACCUGCCCUUGACUUUGGGAUAACUUCAGGAAACUGGGGCUAAUACCUGAUAGGAGCUCCUGCCGCAUGGUGGGGGUUGGAAAGUUUCGGCUGUUGGGGAUGGACUCGCGGCUUAUCAGCUUGUUGGUGGGGUAGUGGCUUACCAAGGCUUUGACGGGUAGCAGGCAUGAGAGGGUGACCGGCGACAUUGGGACUGAGAUACGGACCAGAAUACAACGGGAGGCAGCAGUGGGGAAUAGUGCACAAUGGGAGGAAGCCUGAUGCAGAAACGCAGCGAGCGGGAUGACGGCCUUCGGGUUGUAAAAAGAUGUAGAAUGUGACGAAGAGUGAGUGACGGUAAUGGGUAAAGAAGCACCGGCUAACUACGUG
rnacentral:rRNA from 1 species